CAUUUUCUUGCCAGUUAAUGGUUAUCUCUGUUAUAGUAAGAUACACUAGAGCAGAAAUAUAGACAAGCAAAGGAGUCUGGCCCCAUCACCAUAAUGGAUUACUAUACUUGUCUGCUUUGCUUGACUCUUUUACAAAUUUACACAGCACUAAGGAUAUGGUACAAGGGUAGAGCAAGACUGCACAGAAAUGACAGAGGCCAGAGGAGCCCCUUACAUCCGC
rnacentral:lncRNA from 1 species